AGAUGGAAUUCAUGUUAGAAAUCAACAAAGAGGAAAUAUUUGAGGACGUAGAAAUGGUAAAAACCAAUAGCAAGCAUCUAAGAAUUGAGCAUUGGGUGCCAUAUCCAUGAUAAUUUUCUUUAUCAUCCUAAGAGGAGCCACCAUGACUCCCCAUUGAACCACCGGCCGUGACCCAAGGCAGAAUCCUCGCCGUUUAUUCCCAAGCCUUAUAGUGCUGCCCCUCCGCCUCCUUAGUCGCCGCCGUGAACGGCACCACCCCACUAACAAUCUGGAAUUGGAAAACAUGGACAUGGUAACAGAAUCUCUCUUGAGCAU
rnacentral:misc_RNA from 1 species